UGGCCGUGACAUCAUCCUUCGGGAUUUCCGCUUGGUCUUUCCGAUCCGAUUCCCGAUUCCCACUCCGAUUCCGCCUCCCACUCCCACUCCUUAACGCUCUUUAUCGCCCCCUCGAUUGCUUCCUGCCAUUUUUUUCCUCCGCGUUCCCUUCAUCCUCUCUUCUUUCCUAUCCCUCCCUCCCCAAAUCGCCCCCAGAAUUCUCGCACCGUACUUCCUUCCCUUGGUCUCCAAACCCUAACCCUCUCCCAAAACCCUAAUCCCCGUUCGCUACCCUGGGGUCCUCCUUUAAUGGAGGACGGCCUUCUGAACCACCACAAGCUCUGCGGCUUCCUCCCCGCCGUCGUCUCCGUGAGCUCCCCCCAGGAGCCCCGCGGAGACGCGGCGCCCCCUCGCCCAACCCUAGCCCCCGGCACGCCCUGCUCCCUCUUCAGCGAUGGAGCCGUUGCCGGCUUCCGAUCUCAAGAUGGACUCUUGCUGCUGGUCCUCCAGGAAAGCAAUGUGAAGGCAGACCCUGAAGAGACCGAGUUUUCGAUGCCGGAUAAGGCGAAGAUUGGGGGCGGCGGUGGCGGUGCAGGGGCCCCGGUCUCGAGUUCGAAGAGGAGGAGGAGGAGGAGGAGGAGGGGGAUUGUGCUCGUGAACGGGAGCAUGAGCGUGGUACAGCAGCUGCACGCGCUGAGGGCUCACAGCUGCUUGGAGAUCGAGGCCAGGGUUGUUAGGGUUUCGGUUCGAGGGGAUGGGGAGGCGAGGGCGGUGGUGCUGAUCGAUGUGUAUUUGCCCGUAGAGGUGUGGUCUGGUUGGCAAUUCCCCAAGUCGAGGGCGCUGGCUGCUUCUUUGUUCAAGCAUGUGAGUUGCAACUGGGAAAUCAGAAAUUCGAUGCUUUCUUUUGAUUGGAAGGCUGAUUAUUCACUUGCAGAUGAGAAACAUAUUUGGAGUUGUACUGAUUGCCAUGUCCUUGGAUGUGAAAUGCAUUGCAGUUCUUCUGAUUCUGGCAAUAAAAGGUUAUUCGAUCUUCAUGAAAUUUUUAAGAGCCUACCUAGUGUAGCGAAGGAAAAGAAGAUGCAGUCUACUAGAAUAGAGCCUGAAAAUGCAUCAUUACAUCGCGGUAUCUGGGAUAUAGCUGAUGAUGUGUUGACUAACGUGUUAACUCAGCUUAGCCCAAAGGACCUUGUUAGGGUUUCAGCCACAUGUCGUCAUUUGAGGUCGUUGGCUAUAUCUAUCAUGCCUUGUAUGAAACUUAAACUUUUUCCCCAUCAGGAGGCAGCAGUUGAGUGGAUGUUGAAACGUGAGCGAAAUGGUGAGACUCUGGCACAUCCUUUAUAUACACAUUUUUCUACUGAGGAUGGAUUUUCUCUUUACAUAAACAUUGUUACUGGUGAAAUAUCCACUGGAAUGGCACCUAUGAUAAAUGAUUUCCGUGGAGGAAUGUUUUGUGAUGAACCUGGAUUAGGGAAGACAGUAACUGCACUAUCUCUUAUUCUGAAAACACAUGGAACUUUUGCUGACCCACCACAUGGAGCGGAUGUAAUAUGGUGCAUGCAUAGUUCUGACAAAAAAUGUGGCUAUUAUGAAGUCAGUUCUAAUAAUGUCAUGGCAGGUAACCUUUUUCCAACGUGGAAAAGAUUGUUGGGGCAGAAUUUGCGAAGGGGGAAGGUUUGUUCUAGUAUGCCAUCACUGGAAUUUAGUUCAGCUGAGAUGACAAAAUCUCCCUUACGAAAGAGAGGCAGGUCAAUGGGCCCUGAACAUGCUGUGGGGCUGGCAGCUUCUUCCUAUGGGAAACCAGGCAUUUUAUCUUGCACGGACACACACUCAAGGCCAGUAACACGUGUUCUUAGAUGUACCAGAAGCCUGAGUCGUGUGCAGAGAAAUCUCCUGGACACGUAUGGAGAAAUUUCAGGCUGUGACAAGAAAAGAAAGGCUACAGAAAAUGUUGUUGACAGCACAAAUAUUUCAAAAGUCCCAAAAUUAGAUCACUUUGCAAAGGACAUUGUCAUGCCCAGAUCGUGCAACAGUCACAAGGAACCUGAGAAGGAUAAUGCUGGUUUUGAUUCUAGUGAGACCUGGGUCCAGUGUGAUGCUUGUAGAAAGUGGCGGAAGCUAUCAGAGAGAAGUACACUUGAUGCUACAGCAGCAUGGUUUUGUAGCAUGAAUAAUGAUCCUUUACACCAGAGUUGUGCUGCUCCAGAGGAAUCUUGGGACUACAAAAGGAGAAUAACAAAUCUGCCUGGAUUUUAUACAAAAGGAACCUCACAAGGGAAAGAGCAAAAUAUAUCCUUUUUCGCUAGUGUACUAAAGGAGAAUUUUAUGUUGUUGAACUCGGAAACAAGGAAUGCAUUACGUUGGUUGGCCAAUCUUUCAGAUAACAAACUCAUAGAGAUGGAAACCGUUGGCUUGACGCUUCCAAUACUAGAUUCUCGAAUGGCUUCAGAUAGAGAUUCCCGUGGAUUUCACAAGAUAUUUCAAGCAUUUGGUCUUGUAAGGAGGGUUGAAAGACUUGUAAGUAGGUGGUAUUAUCCAUCCAAGCUCGACAAUUUGGCGUUUGAUUUGACUGCACUAAGAAUUGCUCUCACCAAACCGUUGGACUUGUUCAGGUUGUAUUUGUCCAGAGCAACCCUGAUUGUUGUCCCUUCAAAUUUAGUCGAUCACUGGAAAACCCAAAUUCAGAAACAUGUCAGGCCUGGGCAGCUCCGAGUUUAUGUCUGGGCUGACCAUAAAAAGCCUUGUGCUCACAAUCUUGCAUGGGAUUAUGACAUUGUCAUAACCACCUUUAACCGGUUAAGUGCUGAAUGGGGCCCACGCAAGAGGAGUGUAUUAAUGCAAGUACACUGGCUUAGGGUAAUGUUAGAUGAGGGACACACCCUUGGCUCAAGUCUCAGCUUGACAAAUAAAUUACAGAUGGCUAUCUCUCUGGCUGCAUCAAAUCGUUGGAUUUUGACUGGUACACCAACACCAAAUACACCAAAUAGUCAAGUGGCUCAUCUUCAACCCAUGCUCAAAUUUCUUCAUGAAGAAGCUUAUGGCGAAAACCAGGAAUCAUGGGAGGCUGGCAUACUUAGACCUUUUGAGGCACAGAUGGAGGAGGGGCGAUUGCGUCUUCUACAGCUGCUUCAAAGAACAAUGAUCAGUGCAAGAAAGAUAGAUCUGAAAAAUAUCCCCCCUUGCAUUAAAAAAGCAACUUAUUUACAUUUUACUGAGGAGCAUGCAAGGAGUUACAAUGAACUGGUUGCUACAGUCAGAAGAAAUAUAUUGAUGGCUGAUUGGAAUGAUCCUUCUCAUGUUGAAUCACUUCUAAACCCAAAACAAUGGAAGUUUCGUAGCACCACAAUUAUGAAUGUCAGAUUGUCUUGUUGUGUGGCUGGGCAUAUUAAGGUCACAGAUGCUGGUCAGGAUAUCCAGGAAACAAUGGAUAUUCUGGCACAACAAGGUCUUGAUCCUCUUUCAGAAGAGUAUGUUCUCAUAAAAAAUUAUCUUCUGUAUGGAUGUUACUGUUUCAGGUGCAAAGAUUGGUGCCGUUUACCUGUUAUCACGCCAUGUAGGCAUUUACUGUGCCUUGAUUGCGUAGCUCUGGACAGCCAGAAGUGCACUUUUCCUGGCUGUGACAACCCUUACGAGAUGCAGUCUCCAGAAAUAUUAACACGCCCAGAAAAUCCAAAUCCUAAGUGGCCGGUGCCUAAAGAUCUUAUUGAGUUGCAACCUUCAUAUAAGCAGGAUGCCUGGGAUCCAGAUUGGCAAUCAACAUCAAGUAGCAAAGUUGCAUACUUGAUAGAACGCCUAAAGGUUUUACAGGAAUCUAAUAGAAAAAUUGGCUGCUGUUUAGAUAAAAAGGAUGAUACAAAGGCAUCCAUAAACUCUCAAAAGCGCUCUUGCACUGUGUUCACACAUCAGGGGACUGCUACAAGGCCAAAUGACGAAUCUUGUAAAAUGUUACCUGAGAAAGUUAUAAUAUUUUCUCAAUUUCUUGAGCACAUACAUGUCAUUGAGCAGCAGCUGACAGUUGCUGGAAUCGAAUAUGCUGGAAUGUACAGUCCGAUGCAUUCAUGCAACAAGAUGAAGUCGUUAAUGAGUUUUCAACAAAAUCUAAGUUGCAUCGCUUUACUAAUGGAUGGAAGUGCAGCAUUAGGCCUUGAUUUGAGUUUUGUUACACAUGUAUUUUUGAUGGAACCCAUCUGGGACAGGAGUGGCACAUCCCUGCCCUACUCUAGCGUUUCAUUAAGGGGAAGCAACUACAUUUAACAAUCCAAUAAGCAGACAUUAUUCUGCUGGAAUGCUCAUUCUCCUUUUCUUCUUUUUCUGUGAUCCAUCAUCUUCCCUAUGUCCAGUUUUUCAACACACUUGUAUAUGUUUUGACCAAUAAUUUGAAUUUAUUAUAUUGAAUCAGCAUGGAGGAACAGGUGAUUAGUCGUGCUCAUCGCAUGGGUGCCACUCGUCCGAUUUAUGUUGAAACAUUGGCAAUGCGUGGUACCAUUGAAGAUCAAAUGCUGGAAUUUUUGCAGGAUGCUAGUGAGCGUAGAAGAACGCUGAAGGAAGAAAGUCGGAAAACUGAUCAUGAGGGAUCACGAGGUCAUCGUACAAUACAUGAUUUUGCUGAAAGCAAUUAUUUGGCUGAACUCAGUUUUGUACGGACAAAUGUUAAGGCAUGACAGCUCUAAUCUUCUUCAGGUACGAGGACGUUGAAUGCAGCAUCAAAGUCUCUGCACAUCAGACCGCCCUUGAUGAUGCGAAUCUAAUUCUAUGCAAUCUUCAUGUCUUUACCAUCAUCAUCAUCAUCAUUAUUAUUUUAUUUUUUGGUUCAGCAACAACCUUCAGAUACUUGUUAUUGCAGGCUACCCUAGGAAAUCAGCCGCCUGCUUAGUUUGGUUUUAUUUUGUAAUUAUUGGCAAAGGUGCCUUCCAAGUGCUACAGCCAAAGAGAGAUUCCAUUACAAGCUGGAAACAUUCGAGGAAUUCUUAUUCUCCAUUCCUUUUGUUGCUCUGUCAAGCUGAAUAUUUUUGUCAGGUUCUCAGUGUCAAAACAACAAUCAGAAACUUACAUUUUGCACAUAUACAUCAUUUAUUUUUAUAAAUUGUUUCCCAAAUAUUCUAUUCGUA